CAACUUUCAACAACGGAUCUCUUGGCUCUUGCAUCCAUGAAGAACGCCACCAAAUGGCAUAAGUAAUGUGAAUUGCAGAAUCCAGUGAAUCAUCCAAUCCUUGAACGCACCUUGCGCCCUUUGGUAUUCCGAAGGGCAUGGCUGGUUGAGAAUC
rnacentral:rRNA from 1 species